CUGGCUCAGGACGAACGCUGGCGGCGUGCCUAAUACAUGCAAGUCGAACGCUUCUUUUUCCACCGGAGCUUGCUCCACCGGAAAAAGAGGAGUGGCGAACGGGUGAGUAACACGUGGGUAACCUGCCCAUCAGAAGGGGAUAACACUUGGAAACAGGUGCUAAUACCGUAUAACAAUCGAAACCGCAUGGUUUUGAUUUGAAAGGCGCUUUCGGGUGUCGCUGAUGGAUGGACCCGCGGUGCAUUAGCUAGUUGGUGAGGUAACGGCUCACCAAGGCGACGAUGCAUAGCCGACCUGAGAGGGUGAUCGGCCACAUUGGGACUGAGACACGGCCCAAACUCCUACGGGAGGCAGCAGUAGGGUAUCUUCGGCAAUGGACGAAAGUCUGACCGAGCAACGCCGCGUGAGUGAAGAAGGUUUUCGGAUCGUAAAACUCUGUUGUUAGAGAAGAACAAGGAUGAGAGUAACUGUUCAUCCCUUGACGGUAUCUAACCAGAAAGCCACGGCUAACUACGUGCCAGCAGCCGCGGUAAUACGUAGGUGGCAAGCGUUGUCCGGAUUUAUUGGGCGUAAAGCGAGCGCAGGCGGUUUCUUAAGUCUGAUGUGAAAGCCCCCGGCUCAACCGGGGAGGGUCAUUGGAAACUGGGAGACUUGAGUGCAGAAGAGGAGAGUGGAAUUCCAUGUGUAGCGGUGAAAUGCGUAGAUAUAUGGAGGAACACCAGUGGCGAAGGCGGCUCUCUGGUCUGUAACUGACGCUGAGGCUCGAAAGCGUGGGGAGCAAACAGGAUUAGAUACCCUGGUAGUCCACGCCGUAAACGAUGAGUGCUAAGUGUUGGAGGGUUUCCGCCCUUCAGUGCUGCAGCUAACGCAUUAAGCACUCCGCCUGGGGAGUACGACCGCAAGGUUGAAACUCAAAGGAAUUGACGGGGGCCCGCACAAGCGGUGGAGCAUGUGGUUUAAUUCGAAGCAACGCGAAGAACCUUACCAGGUCUUGACAUCCUUUGACCACUCUAGAGAUAGAGCUUCCCCUUCGGGGGCAAAGUGACAGGUGGUGCAUGGUUGUCGUCAGCUCCUGUCGUGAGAUGUUGGGUUAAGUCCCGCAACGAGCGCAACCCUUAUUGUUAGUUGCCAUCAUUUAGUUGGGCACUCUAGCAAGACUGCCGGUGACAAACCGGAGGAAGGUGGGGAUGACGUCAAAUCAUCAUGCCCCUUAUGACCUGGGCUACACACGUGCUACAAUGGGAAGUACAACGAGUCGCAAAGUCGCGAGGCUAAGCUAAUCUCUUAAAGCUUCUCUCAGUUCGGAUUGUAGGCUGCAACUCGCCUACAUGAAGCCGGAAUCGCUAGUAAUCGCGGAUCAGCACGCCGCGGUGAAUACGUUCCCGGGCCUUGUACACACCGCCCGUCACACCACGAGAGUUUGUAACACCCGAAGUCGGUGAGGUAACCUUUUGGAGCCAGCCGCCUAAGGUGGGAUAGAUGAUUGGGGUGAAGUC
rnacentral:rRNA from 1 species